rnacentral:rRNA from 1 species
AAACGACUCUCGGCAACGGAUAUCUUGGCUCUCGCAUCGAUGAAGAACGUAGCGAAAUGCGAGACUUGGUGUGAAUUAUAGAAUCUCGCGAACCAUCGAGUUUUUGAACACAAGUUGCGCCCGAAGCCAUUAGGUUGAGGGCACGUCUGCCUGGGCGUCUCAC